AGAUACCCCCGGAGCUCCAGCCGCGCGGAUCGCGCGCUCCCGCCGCUCUGCCCCUAAACUUCUGCCGUAGCUCCCUUUCAAGCCAGCGAAUUUAUUCCUUAAAACCAGAAACUGAACCUCGGCACGGGAAAGGAGUCCGCGGAGGAGCAAAACCACAGCAGAGCAAGAAGAGCUUCAGAGAGCAGCCUUCCCGGAGCACCAACUCCGUGUCGGGAGUGCAGAAACCAACAAAGGUGAGAGCUACAUGGAAGAGGAGAUAAUUUUGGACAUCACAGUGAACCAUUCGUCCUUCCCAGUCAAUAUUCAAUAGAUAAGGAAAAAAACCCCACUCUGAUUCUAAAACCCGCUGGAAUUUGAACUGUUGCCUGUGUUCUGAAAGUGUCUUGAAUUGCUUGGGAUCCCAAGCCUGAAGUUUACAGCAUCUCAUGGUGUCCAGAAGGAUAUUCUUUGCUGAGCUGUGAAUGCAGUAUUAAGAAUUCAAUCAAAUCUUCAGAAUGUGAAGAGCAAUUGCUAAAGAAAAUCAUUAGCCCUGUGCACAGUUAGACCAAACAGCUGGC
rnacentral:lncRNA from 1 species